rnacentral:rRNA from 1 species
GAAAGGUUCCACAUGAACAGCGGUUGGACGUGGGUUAGUCGAUCCUAAGCCAUAGGGAAGUUCCGUUUCAAAGGGGCACUCGUGCCCCGCUUGGCGAAAGGGCAGCAGGUUAAUAUUCCUGCACCUGGAUGCGGGUUUUGCGCGGCAACGCAACCGAACGCGGAGACGACGGCGGGGGCCCCGGGCAGAGUUCUCUUUUCUUCUUAACGGCCCACCACCCUGGAAACAGUUUGUCUGGAGAUAGGGUUCCAUGGCCGGAAGAGCCCAGCACCUCUGCUGGGUCCGGUGCGCCCUCGACGUCCCUUGAAAAUCCGCGGGAAGGAAUAAUUCUCACGCCAGGUCGUACUCAUAACCGCAGCAGGUCUCCAAGGUGAACAGCCUCUAGUUGAUAGAACAAUGUAGAUAAGGGAAGUCGGC